rnacentral:rRNA from 1 species
AUGCCACCUGUUCAGGGAAAUGGGCAAGCCCUAAACGGCAACAGUCAGCAAUCUUCUCAGCAAUUUCCAACGCCAAUCUUGUGGCAGCCAACCAGCAACCACUCAAUGCAACAUGGCGAAGGAUGUAGUCUGCCACCACCUAGCAUGCCGAAUCCAUUGCCAGUAGCAGUUCCAGGAUAUUAUCCACCUUUACCUGCUUUUGGACAGGACCACUGCACUAGUUUACCUAAUGCAAGUUCUCAACUUGAAUUUCGGAACUUCCCAGCGUACAUGCCGUUUAAUGAUAUUCCCCAGGGGAAUUCCAUUCUUGGAUGGGAAGAAUUUGUUGAAGAUGUAAGUCAUUCAAAUGUCCGGCCACCAGUUGAAGAGCAUUAUGUAGAUGCGUCAUUUAGAUGUAAUCAAGUGCUACUUCAAUGGGAUGAGCCUCAUAUGGAGGUCAAGAAACGUUGGAACUUUCUUGAUCAGCUCAUGCCGCUGUAUAGCACACAAUCAGGGUUUUAUAAAGAAGAUUUCCCCAGUACGAGCCUCAUGGAUAAAACCCAUAAGUUACUGGCCAGUAUUUCAUCAGACGAUUCUGUUUGGAAGAUAAUUACCAGUGUUACGAGUCGAGCCACACAAACUCCUCAGAGGAGAGGUGUUCUCAUUCGGCCCAUUGAGCCAUAUGAUUCAGAUGAUGGGCCACCAAUUAAGAAGCAAAGGACCAAAUAUCAAUUGCGAUUUGUCAAUACGGUGUGCAAUGACUACUUCACACGGGAGAAUAUCAAAUCAGAGGAUGGAAAUCUCUUAAAGGUGGCUUUGUAUGAUGAGAACAAUCUGGUUGUCACAUCUGGUCCGCUGUCUGCAGCUUUUGUGGAGAUCGUACUACUUCAUGGUGAUUUCAAUGCUGAAGGUCAAGAUUAUUGGACAUCAGAGGAGUUUAGUGACUGCCUAGUGCAUCCACAAUCUGUAAAAGAACCACCAGCCUUGGGAGGUGAUCGUGUCUUGACACUGACUGAUGGAGAAGCAGACCUUGGUAAUGUCUAUUUCCGAACUUCCUCCUUCCAUGCUAGAACUGAAAAGUUCAAGAUGGGUGUUGAGAUUAAAAAUGUAAGAGAAGAGUGUGUUCAAGAAGGAAUCACUAGCCCUUUUUUUGUGAGAGUUCGCCAAGGGGAAGAAUCAAUUGGCCAAUGGAUCACAUCCCUCAAAGCAUCGCUCAGAGUGAGCAAACAAGUCCCCCCGCUGGAGUGCGAUGCUAGGAAAUACGUCGACGCAUUAGCAGUUAAAAUGAGCACGGAGGAAAAAUUCAAAACUGGAAAGCUUAAGGUAAAAAGGGAAAAAGAUAAGAACAAAUAUGAGGAAGAUCUCAGAAUACUCAUGGAAGACCACCAAGAGUUCACAUUAAAAACCGAAGAUAUGCGAAAGGAAGGGCGUGCUGAGUUAAAUCAUUACAUUCUAUCUCCACCUCAGAGAUCAAUGGUUAUCCAAUCAACAAGAUUUCGUCUAGUAAUUGAAAAUAGUGUGAGCAGAACAAUUUACAAAAAUAGUACUGUAAAGACCGAGGAUGGCGGAGAUCACAUAAAAGUUGUCAUGUACGAUGGUGGCAAGCCAAUUGCAUUUGACCACCCUCUUGCUUCAAUAACAGUUGACCUAGUUAUCAUUGAAGGAGGGUUCGAUGAAAAGCGAGAUUCGUGGUCUAAAGAGGAGUUUGAGGAAAGCAUAAUAGAACCAAGAAAAGGAAUCAAAAGGCUAGUGAAAAAUGGUACAUUUGAUUUGAUUGAUGGGAGGUGUGAUCAUCAUGGUGCCAUUAUUAUGGACAAUUCACUACGAAUGGAAGUUAAACUUGGAGUAAGGAUCGCAGUGCAUACAGACAUAAGAGUUAUUGAAGGGGUAUCAAAUCCUUUCAAAAUGAAGGAAGUCCGGACAAGAGUACAUGGAAAGAGUACUAUUCCAUACAAGGACGACGCGGUACAUCGACUGAAGAAAAUUGCCCUGAAGGGAAAACAUUGGAACAAUCUUGAGGAUCAAUAUAUUACCAAAGUGAAGCACUUGUUGCGCCAUUAUCACAAAGAUAAAUUUGGUCUCCAAAAGCUUGUUGACAUGAAGAAAGAGGAUUGGAAUACCAUGAUUAAUCAUGCCACCAUGUGUGUUCCUGGGGAUGAGAUCUAUUCCUACUGUGUUCAAGAGGAUAACUGUGAAAUCCUAUUCAAUGAUUUCUAUGAUCUUGUCGGUAAGAUCACUGAUGACUAUGUUCCGUACAGUGUCAAUGACGUCGAUCAGUUUCCGCAGCUUAAAGUGAACAACUGGAAAAAGUCUGCGUAUAAGAAGUUUGACGAGAGGGAGAACUCAGGGCUCUUUGGUCUUACUCCUGAUUACUUCAUGAACAAUGGCCGCCCAGUCCGUGCAGCGCCCCUGAACAAUGACGCAGGUCCUACUGUACAAGCAUCUACAUGGCAAUAUCCUAAUGACAGGGCUGCACAACACGGCCUUAAUAGAAGUGCAGUCUGCCAAUACACAGAUGCCUGGAGUCCGGCUUCUAAAAAUACCAAUCAAAAUAAUGUGAUUCCUCCAACGACGACAGCAGAUGGGAAUGGGAUGCUUGGGUCACUGACAAUGGGGACAAGCAGCACCAGCGACAUGAAGAAGAGCAUGAUGGAGGACGUUGCCAAUGGUCUCUUCAAUUGA